rnacentral:lncRNA from 1 species
AUGCCGAGCCGCUGCUUCAGCACCAGGGCGGCACACAGGUACCCGGCGCGGCCCACGAAGAGCUCGUCGGAGCCGCACUCGAGGAAGGAGAGCGGCGCGCAGACCUCGCUCAGCUCGCGGAACUUGCCCAGAGGCCGGGCGAAGUCGGGGAGCCCCAGCGCCCGGUACACCAAGGCGGCCACCGCGUACACCCCGGCGCCGCCCAGCAGGAAGGCGGCGCGNNNNNNNNNNNNNNNNNNNNNNNNNNNNNNNNNNNNNNNNNNNNNNNNNNNNNNNNNNNNNNNNNNNNNNNNNNNNNNNNNNNNNNNNNNNNNNNNNNNNCGGCCUCGCCGCCCGCCUCCUGGUAGCGCAGGCAGGCGUCCACCACGCGCCGGGCGGCCCGCAGUGGCCAUCUUUCUCCCAGCCCUGUCCCGUGCCAGUAGUUCUCACCCAGUCGCACUGUUCCCAUCUGGCAGGUAAUUGUCAUGAUGGAAAUGAACUUGUGAAGGCAAGGACCUCACACACAGCAGCUGCAGAUGAUGAAGAAAGCUGGGGACAGUGACCACUCUUUGCAUCCCCAGGACCAGGCACAGCCACAAGCAAUGAAUAAUUAAGCUGUUGAAAUGUCAGGCUUUUUGUUUGCUUGUUUGUUUGUUUGUUUUGUCAAACUAUCAAAGCAUUAUGACAAAGCUGGAUUUGCAACAAUAAAAACUGUAAUCAGAUACUUCUUCUAAGUCUUUUCUAUCCAGCUAUUUUCAGCAGACCUAAAGGAGUAAGAAAGCCUAGGCUAGGGAACAGGGAGUCACGCGUAAUUGCAUAGGUCUAACUUUGUGUGAGAGCAGUCUGUUCUAGAUGCUUUCAUGAGUUAGCAAAAUACUGACUUACCUCCGUAGGAUCCUGAUGAAUUAUCCUUUACAAUUGCAGACUUAGAAGAACAUAAAAUAACCUGACUUAGCACGUAUGGUCAUUGUCCACUCAAAGAAUAGAACAGAUAGCUUCAUUUAAGAUGUUGGAAAUAGGCUGAUAUUCAAGAAAACUACAGUCACUCCUGAAAUUUUCCAGAUGGACACAUUUCAAAAUACAAUUCUAAGUAUAUUCACAGAGUUGCUGGGGUGGGAAGGAUGCUCUGGGUCCUUUUGGCCCAACCCCUGCUCCAGCAGAGAUACCAAGAGCACAGUGCUCAGGGCCAUGCCCAGGUGACGUUCAAAGAUCUCCAAGGAGACCCCACAGCCUCUCUGGGCAGCCUGUGCCAGUGCUGUGUCACUCACACGUUACAGAAGUGCUGCCUGGUGCUCAGAUGGAGCCUCAUGUGUUCCAGUUUGUGCCCUCUGCCUCUUGUCCUGGCACUGGGUACCAGUGGCAAGAGCUUGGCUCCAUCAUCUUUGCACCCUCCCUUCAAAUAUUUAUAGACAUUGAUGAGAUACCCGAGCCUCCUCUUCUCCAGGCUGAAUAGUCCCAACUCACUCAGCCUCUCUCUCCUCCCUGUGCCCCAGUGCUCCAGUGACUUCACCUUUGUGCUCCUUCGCUGGACUGUAGUAGCUCCAUGUCCGUCUUGUACUGGGCAGCCCAGAAUUGAACACAGUGCUCCAGUGAUAUUCUUGUUCUACUAAAUUUUGAGAGGCCAUAAAAUUCUCUAUUUCUUUCUCUUUUUUAAAACAUUUUGCAAACUGAGGUCAGAGUUUUUUAAUUCUUAGGAAUCCUGAAGCAAUACAUGAUGCAUUUUUUCUUGAAACAGUAAUGAUGUUUUCUUGGGAAACUGCCAAGAACAUUUCAAAAUCAAUUUCUGUUCACAUGCAUUUACAGCUCAUGUGAUGAGUAUAAUGUCUGUCUUCAUUUCAUUGCUACGUUAGUCUGAUGGGAAUCAUAGAAGCUGUGCUAGCCUGUGCUAGAUGAAGAUCCAUCUAUAGGAGUUUGUGCUGUUUUGCUUGUUCAGCAUCCCAGGGGGAGGCAAGAGAAAUAUGAAAUACAUUGCAAUCUGUGUGUUUUGGUUUUUUUUUAAUAAAAGUUUUGCUAUUUUAGCAGUUUCAAAUUAUAGAUUAAAGUAAUAUGAAGUAUUGAUACUGGACUUGGAACAAGAAUAUUUUUGUUUUAUUUUUGCACCUUCAAAUGUGUAAACUCUGAUCCAGCAAAUGUUUAGCACCUGGGAUUUAUCUUACAUACAUCAACAGUUCCUCACUGUUCUUGGUAGAUACCGUUUGCAAAAUCGUGGCCUAGGAUUGUUCCAGAAUGCCAUUAAGCAUUUUUGUUUUUUCUGUUCUUCAGUAAGCAAAUGCCUUUUGGAAAAAAAAGCUGGAAGAUACAUAAAAAUAAUUCACAGCAUCAUGAAUUAUGCAGGGAGACAUUCCAGCUCCUUGUAGAUAAACAAAAUGUUCAGGUACUGAGAUACAGAUUUGGCUGGGGUAUUACAAAACUGUUUCAGAAAACCAUUUGGGUCAGAAGUACUGCUCACUUUCUUUAAAAGAAAAAUGUGCUCAAGUGGAUCAGGCCUAUACUAGCCUGGUGCAGGAUGUAGCGCAUUUACCCCUUGCAAUUUUUUGCAAGCUGAGAUUUUUCUGAAGUAGUGUGUUGGGCUUACAUGGCCCAAGGUUUUGCUAGCUCCAGAGGGCUGCAGGGGUGGCCUCUGUGAGCAGAGCCCACGUUGGAGCCGUGCUGGGCCAGUGCUGGGAGAGCUGCAGCCCACACGGGAUCAGCUCAGGGUGGAUGCUAUUGUGGGAGGGACCCACAUCAAGAAGGAGCAGAGUGUCUGUGGAAGGGUGGC